rnacentral:lncRNA from 10 species
CAUCAGAUGGCAAAACCAGAUGCUUCCCCAGAUGCCGUUCCGCAAGAUGGAGCUCUCUGGAGUGCUGGUUACUUCUGCGCCCAAGCCAGUGGGCUGUCUCUCCUGGAUGCCAAAUUAGGGAAGCACUCCCUGAUUAGUAUCCACGUGACCUGUGUUUCUCAGAAGCUGGAAGUCUGAAUGUGACGAGAAGUCUCCUGAUUUUGUUUGUCGGCUACUCCUACAACUGCCCCAUAACACUGUGCCCCGGAUUCUUCCCGAGGUGGGAGGACCGAGGGCAGAGGCUCCUGGCCCAGUCACCCAACCCCACUUCCGGGCUUCAGCUCUUGGGCCAGGUGGGCACACUCUGUCUUCUUUUUCUUGUGCAAGUGACAUCCCAGGUGCCAUUUCUCGAGGUUGCCAGGCUUCCCAGCCUCUGGCUCCUGCUUGUGUCUUUGUAGGGGAGGUGGCUAUGAUGGUGACAGCACAUUCGAAGCAGCAGUGGUUACAGUUUCCUUCUAAAAAUACAUUGAAGACAGAGUCAAAUGUAAGGGGGUGACUUCUGGUUCAGCACAGCGUGCAGAGCACACGCUUCUCCCUGGAUCUUGGACCACAGAGGGGACACUGCUGACCUUGCUCCUCUGGGGCAUCCCCUCCCUAGACUCACGGGAGGACCACAGAGGACACGGCUGACCCUGCUUAUCUGUGGGCAUCUCCUCUCUGGCUCAGCUGGAAGACAGACA